rnacentral:rRNA from 1 species
GAGUAAUGCGUGACCAACCUGCCCCAUGCUCCAGAAUAGCUCUUGGAAACGGGUGGUAAUGCUGGAUGCUCCAACUUGACGCAUGUCUUGUUGGGAAAGUGUUUAGUAGCAUGGGAUGGGGUCGCGUCCUAUCAGCUUGUAGGCGGGGUAAUGGCCCACCUAGGCUUCGACGGGUAGCCGGCCUGAGAGGGCGGACGGCCACAUUGGGACUGAGAUACGGCCCAGACUCCUACGGGAGGCAGCAGCA